UACGAAGGGGGCUAGCGUUGUCCGGAAUUACUGGGCGUAAAGGGCGCGUAGGCGGCCCGUUAAGUCCGCUGUGAAAGACCGAGGCUCAACCUCGGGGUGUCAGCGGAGACUGUCGGGCUGGAGUCUCAGAGAGGGAUGCGGAAUUCCUGGUGUAGCGGUGGAAUGCGUAGAGAUCAGGAGGAACACCGAUGGCGAAGGCAGCAUCCUGGCCGAGUACUGACGCUGAGACGCGAAAGCGUGGGGAGCGAACGGG
rnacentral:rRNA from 1 species